UACGAAGGGGGCUAGCGUUGUUCGGAAUUACUGGGCGUAAAGAGCUCGUAGGCGGUUUGUCGCGUCUGCCGUGAAAGUCCGGGGCUCAACUCCGGAUCUGCGGUGGGUACGGGCAGACUAGAGUGAUGUAGGGGAGACUGGAAUUCCUGGUGUAGCGGUGAAAUGCGCAGAUAUCAGGAGGAACACCGAUGGCGAAGGCACUUUACUGGGCUAUUACUAACACUCAGAGACGAAAGCUAGGGUAGCAAAUGGG
rnacentral:rRNA from 1 species